AGUGAACGCUGGCGGCGUGCCUAAUACAUGCAAGUCGAACGGAGUGGCGCACGGGUGAGUAAUAUAUAGCUAAUCUGCCCCUUGCUGGAGGACAACAGUUAGAAAUGACUGCUAAUACUCCAUAGCAAGGGAUGGGACUAUAUCGUAUCAGCUAGUCGGUGGGGUAACGGCCUACCGAGGCUAUGACGCGUAACUGGUCUGAGAGGAUGAUCAGUCACAUUGGAAGUGAGGCACGAGCCGGACUCCUACGGGAAGGAGCAGUAGGGAAUAUUGCGCAAGGGGGGAAAGCCAGACGCAGCAACGCCGCGUAGAGGAUGACACUUUGCGGAGCGUAAACUCCUUUUGAUAGGGAAGCGGUACCUAACGAAUAAGCACCGGCUAACUCCGUGCCAGCAGCCGCGGUAAUUC
rnacentral:rRNA from 1 species